CGCGGGCAUUCGGCGGGGUACUCCUUAAUCGACGACUCAGCUGUCUCAUAAGCUCCCACACGAAUUGCUUGAUUCAUUGAAGAAAACAAUUAGGUUAGCAACCUUCGAUUGGGUCUGUAGCUCAGUUGGUUAGAGCGCACCCCUGAUAAGGGUGAGGUCGGCAGUUCGAAUCUGCCCAGACCCACCAAUUUGCUGGGGCCAUAGCUCAGCUGGGAGAGCGCCUGCCUUGCACGCAGGAGGUCAGCGGUUCGAUCCCGCUUGGCUCCACCACCCCGCUUGCCAGUUUGUCAAAGCUUAGAAAUGAAUAUUCGCGUCGAAUAUUGAUUUCUGAACUUUAUCAGAAUCGUUCUUUAAAAAUUUGGGUAUGUGAUAGAAAGAUAGACUGGACAGCACUUUCACUGGUGUGUGUUCAGGCUAAGGUAAAAUUUGUGAGUAAUUACAUGUUUUCGGCGAAGGUUGUCUUCACAGUAUAACCAGAUUGCUGGGGGUUUUAAAGUGUCCACCAGG
rnacentral:tRNA from 1 species